UUUGGCUCAGGAUGAACGCUGGCGGCACGCUUAACACAUGCAAGUCGAACGGAGUUAUUUGGAGUUUGCUUUGAAUAACUUAGUGGCGGACGGGUGAGUAACACGUGAGCAAUCUGCCCUUAAGAGGGGGAUAGCAGUUAGAAAUGACUGAUAAUACCGCAUAAGAUAGUAGUACCGCAUGGUACAGCUAUAAAAGAUUUUAUCGCUUAAGGAUGAGCUCGCGUCUGAUUAGCUGGUUGGUGAGGUAACGGCUCACCAAGGCAACGAUCAGUAGCCGGACUGAGAGGUUGGACGGCCACAUUGGGACUGAGACACGGCCCAGACUCCUACGGGAGGCAGCAGUGGGGAAUA
rnacentral:rRNA from 1 species